rnacentral:lncRNA from 1 species
GCGACCGCCCACGCCCCGGCCCGCGGCGCGUCCCGGACGUCCACGCUUGCGUUUCUGCGGAUCGUGGGAAUCCUUCUGCGUGGGUCUGUCUCACACCUUAACUUGAAGAGUUUUAGAAAUGCUAACCGAGCUCAGGUUUUGAACAUGUCUGGGACUGUGAAUUGGCUGCCAGAAUGAAUGAUGGGAAGCAGACUCAGCACACAGUCCCCUCUCUGUCUAGGCAAAAGCAGCCAGGCUGAGAGAACCAUGGAGCUCUGAAGCCAGUCCCAAGAAGAAGCAGAAGACAUAAUACAAGCAGAAGACAGGGAGAGAAUAUUCUACGCGUAUAUACACAGGCUCAAGUAUUCAUUAAAAACAUAAAAGCA